AGUUUGACCUCAAAUCAGGUAGGAUUACCCGCUGAACUUAAGCAUAUCAAUAAGCGGAGGAAAAGAAACCAACAGGGAUUGCCUCAGUAACGGCGAGUGAAGCGGCAAAAGCUCAAAUUUGAAAUCUGGUACCUUCGGUGCCCGAGUUGUAAUUUGAAGGUAGUUUUCUGGUGCUGGUCCUUGUCUAUGUUCCUUGGAACAGGACGUCAUAGAGGGUGAGAAUCCCGUCUGAUGGGGAAUCCAGUGCUAUGUAGAUUUCUACCGACGAGUCGAGUUGUUUGGGAAUGCAGCUCUAAGUGGGUGGUAAAUUCCAUCUAAAGCUAAAUAUUGGCGAGAGACCGAUAGCGAACAAGUACAGUGAUGGAAAGAUGAAAAGAACUUUGAAAAGAGAGUGAAAAAGUACGUGAAAUUGUUGAAAGGGAAGGAUAUUGGAUCAGACUUGGUGUUUUGUGAUUAUCUUCCCCUUGUGGGUUGUGCACUCGCAUUUCACUGGGCCAGCAUCGGUUCGGAUGGCAAGAUAAUGGCGCAGGAACGUGGCACUCUUCGGGGUGUGUUAUAGCCUGUGUUGAUGUUGCCUAUCUGGACCGAGGACUGCGGCUUGCCUAGAUGUCGCGA
rnacentral:rRNA from 1 species